rnacentral:pre_miRNA from 1 species
UCUUUGUCUACUUCAGGUGUUUUUGUUUUUCUUUUAGCACCUUUAAGUAGAAAUUGACC